rnacentral:rRNA from 1 species
CGCCUCUUGCUCAACUAUAAGAGGUCCAGCCUGCCCAGUGACCCAUGUUCAACGGCCGAGGUAUCCUGACCCCGCGAAGGUAGCGCAAUCAAUUGUCUCUUAAAUGGAGACUUGUAUGAACGGCAUCACGAGGAUUUAACUGUCUCCCCUCUCUAAUCUGUGAAACUAAUCUCCCUGUGAAAAAGCAGGGCUAUCUUCAUAAGACGAGAAGACCCUGUGGAACUUUAAACAAGUAACAAUUGCCCCACUUUGACCUCAAAAAAUCAAACCCCCGGGCACUCUGAUUACAAGUUUUCGGUUGGGGAGACCGCGGAGAAAAACCUAUCCUCCAUGUUGUGAACCUUAAAUUCAAACCCACAAGCCACGGCUUUACGAAUCAGCAAACUGACAUUCAUUGACCCAAAUAUUUGAUCAACGAACCAAGCUACCCCAGGGAUAACAGCGCAAUCCGCCUUUAGAGCACAUAUCGACAGGCGGGCUUACGACCUCGAUGUUGGAUCAGGGUACCCCAGUGGUGCAGCCGCUACUAAAGGUUCGUUUGUUCAACGAUUAAUACCCU